CUAUCCAGGUAAUUGUAUGGGAUAGGGGCUAGAGUAUAAUCGCCCUCUAAUACUUUCAUCAUCACCAAGAUUGGAAGCUUGCUUAGCGAGUGGAGCAAUGGAACUUUCUAAAGGGAAAGGGAAGGCCAUCUGUGUAGCCAAGGGAAAGAAAUCUAUGCUGGAUGGUGAUUUGGAGAAAACUGUUAGGUUUCUUCGAGAAAAGAAUGUUGGCGUAAUGAUACGUGAUGAGCGAGAAUUGAAUCAGAUUCGCAUGCAUGGGGAAAAGGCAGAGGAAAAGGCAAUUUGUGGAGGUAAAGAAAAUGCUGCCCCUAAAGUGGCACCUAAUGAUAAUGUUAGAUCAAAGGCCCAAUGCUUACGACGUGAACGAGAGAGAGUGGGAGAAUGCAUUCAACCGAGGCGGCCCACAUCAUCAGUUGUGCUGCUUCCUAAAAUACCAAAUUUGAUUUAAAAUUUUUGAACUUUUAGAGACAUCUUACUCGAUAAAAUGUGACGUUAUUUCAUCCACCGUGUAGGCACCUAAUGAUAAUAUUAGAUCAAAGGCCCAAUGCUUACGACGUGAAUGAGAGAGAGCAUUCAGGGAGAGCAAGAGAAUGCAUUCAACCGAGGUGGCCCACAUCCUUUUUGUCCUUAACACCAAGUUGUCGCCAACGUGCAUGCCUAGAAGGUGGCAUGAUUUAUACAUCUAUAGAAAUUCCUACAAAUUCACCAAAGCGAGCAAUGGUUUCACAUGCCUUCGAGUCAUCAUCAGUUGUGGUGCUUCCUAAAACACCAAAUUUGAGGAACUAUUCUGCUAGCACAAGAACUCCAAUAACUGCGGAUAGUAUGCUAUGUCAUCAUGAAUCCCAGGCAUGCCAACAUUCAAUACCUCAUAUCGAAGUAUCUGUAGCUAUGCUGAGCAUAGCCAUGGAUGAACCUGAAAUGUAGACUUCUAGCUAUCAUACUGCAAUGGGCAUGAAGAGCGGUAUCAUGGCAAAUUUUGCUUGAUGAGUUGUAGAGAUUGGAUGAACAAUUAAGGGACGUGCAUGUUUUUUUUACCUUUGUAGUAUUGCGGCAUCAUAAUUUUAUUGGUGGAAGUACAUAUGAAUUACUUGAUUGAAAUGAUCAAGCCACCUACGUUAAUAGGAUACUAUGAUGCACGAACACAGAUACGGAUACGGAUACGGACACGGACAUAGACACAGGGACACGGAAAUUAUAAUCUAAAAAAAUGGGGACACAGACACGAGAGGGGACACGCCAUGUGUAUAUUAUUCAUAUGAGUGACACGGCGGGGGACACGCCGCUAGUGACCAUCUCAGGUUUUGACCUCCAUGGUAAUGCGUGUUUGGAAACCGUAGCUCUACAAUGAUUCUCUCCUUAAGGUGAUUUCUAUUUGCGUUUGCCAAGGCCCAAGGAUAUGAACCUUCCAUUUCUCCAGUUCCACAGCUAAAUUUACCAUUGGUUGAGCCGUAUGUUAUGAAUUUAGGUUGGCUUCUUUGUGUAACUGAUGUGUAAAAACAUGUAAUUAUGCCAGUGUCUUUAAUGUGAAAUUAACAUUUGUUCUUUCUUAAAAUGGUGUAAUAUUUUAUUCAGUCAUGUAAUUUCUUUCUUUUUACAACAAGGCAUACGAUUUCAAUUUAUCCGUAGGUAGUUGAAUUGUAUUAGUCGGGGACUAAAUUGGUAGAGGGGUUGGUUUAGUUAUAGUUAUGAUCGAUAUGUUGAGUUAUAUCU